GGGGCGUACUGUUCUCGGCAUAUCGCCCCGUAAACGCUCGCACGCCGGUUCUUUAGUUCUGAUGUCUUUUCUAGCCGCUCCCCUUAGGAGUGACUAUGGAUUCGUGGAUGACUUGAAUGCAGGAGACGAUAAUGGAAUUCCACGUGUAGCGGUGAAAUGCGUAGAGAUGUGGAGGAACACCAGUGGCGAAGGCGACUCUCUGGUCUGUAACUGACGCUGAGGAGCGAAAGCGUGGGGAGCGAACAGGAUUAGAUACCCUGGUAGUCCACGCCGUAAACGAUGAGUGCUAGGUGUUAGGGGGUUUCCGCCCCUUAGUGCUGAAGUUAACGCAUUAAGCACUCCGCCUGGGGAGUACGGCCGCAAGGCUGAAACUCAAAAGAAUUGACGGGGACCCGCACAAGCGGUGGAGCAUGUGGUUUAAUUCGAAGCAACGCGAAGAACCUUACCAGGUCUUGACAUCCUUUGACCGCUCUAGAGAUAGAGUUUUCCCUUCGGGGACAAAGUGACAGGUGGUGCAUGGUUGUCGUCAGCUCGUGUCGUGAGAUGUUGGGUUAAGUCCCGCAACGAGCGCAACCCUUAAUCUUAGUUGCCAGCAUUCAGUUGGGCACUCUAAGGUGACUGCCGGUGACAAACCGGAGGAAGGUGGGGAUGACGUCAAAUCAUCAUGCCCCUUAUGACCUGGGCUACACACGUGCUACAAUGGACGGAACAAAGGGAAGCGAACCCGCGAGGUCCAGCAAAUCCCAUAAAACCGUUCUCAGUUCGGAUUGCAGGCUGCAACUCGCCUGCAUGAAGCCGGAAUCGCUAGUAAUCGCGGAUCAGCAUGCCGCGGGUGAAUACGUUCCCCGGGUCUUGUACACACCGCCCGUCACACCACGAGAGUUCGUAACACCCGAAGUCGGUGAGGUACCUUUUGGAGCAGCCGCCGAAGUGGGACAAUGAUUGGGUGAAUCUAAGGGGGGACCCGAAAAACGGGAAGUUUAGAACCG
rnacentral:rRNA from 1 species